rnacentral:misc_RNA from 1 species
CAACGUCUUUAGCUCAACCAACUUCCUCAUCACAAGAACCUCUUUCGUCAAUUGCCCGACGUCCCACUACUCCGGCUACAGCCUCUCACAAUGACCUUUCCCUUGUAAUUGAUUUAUCCAAUUCUCCCACCGCACAACAACCUCCAACCUCCAGCCUCGCCUACUCAACCAGUCUUAUCCUUAUCUCCUUCUUAUUCUCAGUCUAUUAUUUCUACCUCAACUAAUACCCAUCCCAUGCAGACCCGCUCUAAGACUGGUAACCUUAAACCUCGCACAUUUGUGGCUUCUGAUGAUUCUCCUAUUGUGCCAACAUGAUACUCUCAAGCUGUUCUACAUAAGCAUUGGCAUCAAGCCAUGGAUGAUGAAUUCACAGCUCUUAUGCAACUGGAACAUGGAACCUCGUUCCUCGGUCCACAACAGGGGCGGAUCCAGAUGUAACGGUGGAGGGCCAUCGCCCUCCCAACCUUGAAAAUUUUCUCAAGAGUUUGCAUGUGUGCUACAGGGUUGGCCCCCCUCAAAUUUUUAUCUUCUUGCCCCCUCAACAUGGGUUCUAAGAUUAUGAGUUAGUCUUUAUAAAUAAUGGGCUAAAUAAUUUUAACAUCUGCAGCCUGUUAUAACCCAACUUUAAAAAAAGUGAAAUAACUUCAAUCCAUUAUUAAAUCAAGCCCAAGAGAUCAAAUAAAGCCUAAUACAGUGCUUUUUUAUUUUUUUCCUCUUUUGCCUGCUGCAAAU